rnacentral:rRNA from 1 species
AUUGAACGCUGGCGGCAUGCUUUACACAUGCAAGUCGAACGGUAACAGGCCGCAAGGUGCUGACGAGUGGCGAACGGGUGAGUAAUGCAUCGGAACGUGCCCAGUCGUGGGGGAUAACGCAGCGAAAGCUGUGCUAAUACCGCAUACGAUCUGUGGAUGAAAGCGGGGGACCGAAAGGCCUCGCGCGAUUGGAGCGGCCGAUGUCAGAGUAGGUAGUUGGUGGGGUAAAGGCUCACCAAGCCAAGGAUCUGUAGCUGGGCUGAGAGGACGGCCAGCCACACUGGGACUGAGACACGGCCCAGACUCCUACGGGAGGCAGCAGUGGGGAAUUUUGGACAAUGGGCGCAAGCCUGAUCCAGCAAUGCCGCGUGCAGGAAGAAGGCCUUCGGGUUGUAAACUGCUUUUGUCAGGGAAGAAAAGGUUCUGGUUAAUACCUGGGACUCAUGACGGUACCUGAAGAAUAAGCACCGGCUAACUACGUGCCAGCAGCCGCGGUAAAAC